CGCAACCCUUGUCCUUAGUUACCAGCACGUUAUGGUGGGCACUCUAAGGAGACUGCCGGUGACAACCGGAGGAAGUGGGGAUGACGUCAAGUCAUCAUGGCCCUUACGGCCUGGGCUACACACGUGCUACAAUGGUCGGUACAAAGGGUUGCCAAGCCGCGAGGUGGAGCUAAUCCCAUAAAACCGAUCGUAGUCCGGAUCGCAGUCUGCAACUCGACUGCGUGAAGUCGGAAUCGCUAGUAAUCGUGAAUCAGAAUGUCACGGUGAAUACGUUCCCGGGCCUU
rnacentral:rRNA from 1 species